rnacentral:lncRNA from 1 species
AGAUUCAAAACUUAGGAGUAAAAAAUUAGUUCGAAAGAAGACCUUAAGAGUAAGAGUUUUAGGCAGCCAGUUAGUUCAAGCAAAUUUGUUCCAUUGAAAAAUACCAAAAGUGUUGUUGCAUUGUUUCUCUGGUUCACAAUUUGAUCAAGUUUUCUUCUUUUCUGAUUACUGGGUUGCUGGAAGUUCACUUGUUGGUUCUCGUUUGAUUUUGGGUGUUCAAAUUAGCUCCUUAGGUUGUUUGUUUUGCUGUGUUUCUGUUGAGGUUGCCUGGGUUUGUUGGAAGCUAUUUUUGCGGUCCAAAUUACUCUUAUUUUGGUUGACUGUGGUUGCUGGUUAUCUGUUAGUCUGUUGAUGUUGUUGUGCUUGUGUUACCGCUGCAUUACUGACCUUCUUCUCCUUCUUUUUCAUUUCCAAAUACCAGGUACACAACUCUUAUACUGGUACAAUGUCGCUGGAACUGUUCGAAGCAUGAAUAAAAAU